GACCGAAUGGCGUAGUGGUUAGUGACACUGACUACUGAGCCGAAGGUCCCGGGUUCGAUUCCCGGCUGGGGCA
rnacentral:tRNA from 1 species